rnacentral:rRNA from 1 species
AUUGAACGCUGGCGGCAUGCUUUACACAUGCAAGUCGAACGGUAACAGGCCUUCGGGUGCUGACGAGUGGCGAACGGGUGAGUAAUGCAUCGGAACGUGCCCAAUCGUGGGGGAUAACGUAGCGAAAGUUACGCUAAUACCGCAUAAGCCCUGAGGGGGAAAGUGGGGGACCGCAAGGCCUCACGCGAAUGGAGCGGCCGAUGUCAGAUUAGCUAGUUAGUGGGGUAAAGGCUCACCAAGGCGACGAUCUGUAGCGGGUCUGAGAGGAUGAUCCGCCACACUGGGACUGAGACACGGCCCAGACUCCUACGGGAGGCAGCAGUGGGGAAUUUUGGGACAAUGGGCGCAAGCCUGAUCCAGCCAUGCCGCGUGCGGGACGAAGGCCUU